GCGAUCAUACCAGCACUAAUGCAUCGGAUCCCAUCAGAACUCCGAAGUUAAGCGUGCUUGGUUGAGUGCAGUACUAGUAUGGGUGAUCCCUUGGGAAGUCCUCGUGUUGCACCU
rnacentral:rRNA from 1 species